UCGGCCAUGAUGAGGGUCCUCUUAGGCAGGUUAGAGAUGCUUCACUACUAAAUUCAAACCACAUCACAAUGUUUUAACUACAUCACUUUCUUCUGUAAUUUGAAAGACUUUGAAAAAUAUUCACAAACAAAUCCAUCUUGCCAGACACACAUCACGACCUGGCAGUCACGACAAAACUGCAAAUGCUCUCAUUGACCCAGCUUUAAUAGGGGAGGCUUUAAAGUCCUGUUUGGCACCUCUGUUGCCAGGUGAUGCCAUCAGGUGAGCACUGUCGGCUGGCACAAUGGCCACCCCUUUUCUAUGUCUCCCAAAUUGGACUUCUAUCUUAUCAUCACACAAGGAAAACCAAGAAUGCUUCCCUAACAGUUCCACUCGUAUUGUUCCUAUGAUUCAACACAGUGGAGAAAACCCAACAAAGUAACUGAUUGUAACCUCUCCAUUCACAGAGAUGAAUGUGUUUCCUGUACACAAUUACCGCGGCUUUGUGGGCCAUUCUUGCAAACCUGAAUAUGGAGAAGGCAUUUAGAAGGAGCAAGUGCUGCAUCAGAAGUUGCUGAGUGUUAAGAAAAUACAUGAUCUUUUCUUUUUUUAACAAUGGGGCAAAGGCAAAGCUACAAUUCAGAACAAGAGCAUAAAAACCUUUUAAGAUCAUGAAAUGGACAUUAUAGCAUUAAACAUUUAUUUUCUUUUAAAGUUUGGCAAAGACUUUCCAUCAAUUUAUUCCCCUAAGACAUUAAAGAAGAGCACUGGGUGAUUAAUUGAUGUCUU